UGGGCACCAGCGGGCCUCCCAUCUGGGCCCGCAUUUUCGAACCGCCCCCGAGGUGGCUUUGAAGCAAGGAACCCCGACUUUAAGCGGCCAGGUGUUGAAGCCUGACAGAUGCAGACCGAUGCGAUCCGCGGCGCCCUCUACUGGUCACCAAUAGAAAUGUAUCUCUACAGCCUCUUGGGGAAGCUUUGCAAGUAAUUGGGUCAUGGAAAGAAAGACUGAAUAAACACUAAGGCUUGUGUACUAGACAUGACUGGAAAAUCUGAGAACAUCUAACCUUGAACAUUUGGAAAGGAGCUAGAAUAAAAGGAGCACCAGAGUGUUCAACCAAUGCCUACGCAACUCUUCUUGGUUUCCCUGUAAGGUCAAAUCAUCACUGCAGGGCUCAGCAUCGAAGCAUUGUUCACCUUCUUUAGUGAACUUACAGACUGAGCAAUAUGAGUGACAGGCACAAGGAGGAAAGGAGAAUGCCUUUUGGUUAUUGUGCAUGUGACCAGGGGGCCAGAGAGAGAGGUGAACAGGUAAGAAUUAGAAUUCUGAAAAUAAUUAAGGAGUCAUUUAGAAGUCUCUACCUCCAAAUGUCUUGGAAAUAUAAGUGGUCCUGAGAGAUGCAGUUUCUCAGGCAGAUUUGAACACUAAAUAAUAUAGCCACAUCUGCAGAAAGUGCUACGCCUGGAGGUAAAGACCCACUUCCUCUCA
ensembl:antisense Gm26973 predicted gene, 26973